UCCGAUAUGGUCUAAUGGCUAUGAUACCUGGCUCUCACCCAGGAGAUCCGGGUUCGAUUCCCGGUAUCGGAA